ACGAAGGGGGCUAGCGUUGCUCGGAAUUACUGGGCGUAAAGGGAGCGUAGGCGGAUAGUUUAGUCAGAGGUGAAAGCCCAGGGCUCAACCUUGGAAUUGCCUUUGAUACUGGCUAUCUUGAGUAUGGGAGAGGUAUGCGGAACUCCGAGUGUAGAGGUGAAAUUCGUAGAUAUUCGGAAGAACACCAGUGGCGAAGGCGGCAUACUGGCCCAUUACUGACGCUGAGGCUCGAAAGCGUGGGGAGCAAACAGG
rnacentral:rRNA from 1 species